GUGUAUAUUAUCACGAUGAGAGGAAACCAGUACAUUACGACCAUUCCAAACAGAGAAUACGUUACUUCGUGAGUGUACGUUGGAAAUGUGUUGAACGUGACGCACUGCGAGUACCAGGUGAUGUUUGGAUGGGUCUCCAGGUGCUGUUGUACCUGAGGCAUGGAGAAUACGAUGGAUCCCACCCAGGCGAGGCAUAUCAUGAUUUUUCCUCUCUUGUCGACGUCCCGUAGCUGGAGGGGCCGUAUUAUGGCGUAAUAUCUGAAAUAAAACGUUACGAAAUUUAGGAUGCAGAGAAUGCUUCCCUUAUACGUGUAGUAUAAGAAGGAAAGGAAGGAAGGGAAGAAUUUCUGUGAGAAUUAUACCAACCUGUCCAUGCUUAUGCACACCAAAAUUAGGGAUGACAAGUAUAAGCCAA